rnacentral:lncRNA from 1 species
AGUAAAGAAGCGAAGCUAAGCGGCGCUGGUGAAGCGGCUCAUCAGGUCUAUCAGGAAACCUGAGAAUUGGAGUGAGAAUCCCAGUGUGGAAAAUCAGGAAAGAGGCUGGUAUGAGCGACAGAGAAGUCAUUCAGGAAAGAGGUUAUUGAAUUCAUUGGAGAAUGAAUGCUGUUCUGAAUUUGUAUCUUAAGGGAAAUACUACAAAAUGUCGCAGAAGGUGCUGGAUGGAUAUCUAAAGUUCAAAAAGGAAGAGAACCACACGAGCUGGAGAUUCAGGAAGCAUCAGUAGAAGUCAAUGGCCAUUAAUAAAAACAUUUUUUAUUAAAAUAUUGAAUCUGAAUAGAAACCUCCUGUACUUCAUUUCUUAAAUCCCUUGAGGGUAGUAACUGCAUCUUCUCCAUUGAUAUAGCCCCUGCCAAGCACAGUGCCUGAAGGCAGGUCCACAGACAUUGGCUGAAUAAACGAGUGCUCUGUU